AGUGAAUAGAUACCCAGGUAGUCCACACCUUAAACUAUGGAUACUUGGUAUAGGGAGUUUCGACCCUCUCUGUGCCGAAAGCUAAACGCUUUAAGUAUCCCGCCUGGGAACUACGGCCGCAAGGCUAAAACUCAAAGGAAUUGACGGGGGCCCGGCACAAGCAGCGGAGCGUGUGGUUUAAUUCGAUGCAACACGAAGAACCUUACCAGGGUUUGACAUACUAGAAGUAGGAGCCCGAAAGGGUAACCAACUGUUAAGUCAGUAACUAGAACAGGUGCUGCAUGGCUGUCGUCAGCUCGUGCCGUGAGGUGUUCGGUUAAGUCCUGCAACGAGCGCAACCCUCGUGGCUAGUUGAAUUUCUCUAGCCAGACCGCCCCGGCAAAACCGGGGUAGGAAGGUGGGGAUGACGUCAAGUCAGCAUGGCCCUUAUACCCCUGGGGCCACACACACGCUACAAUGGGUGGUACAAUUGGUUGCGACAGAGCGAUCUGGAGCUAAUCUGUAAAGCCAUCCUCAGUUC
rnacentral:rRNA from 1 species